AGUGAACGCUGGCGGUAGGCCUAACACAUGCAAGUCGAACGGCAGCACAGUAAGAGCUUGCUCUUACGGGUGGCGAGUGGCGGACGGGUGAGGAAUACAUCGGAAUCUACUUUUUCGUGGGGGAUAACGUAGGGAAACUUACGCUAAUACCGCAUACGACCUACGGGUGAAAGCAGGGGAUCUUCGGACCUUGCGCGAUUGAAUGAGCCGAUGUCGGAUUAGCUAGCUGGCGAGGUAAAGGCCCACCAAGGCGACGGCCCGUAGCUGGUCUGAGAGGAUGAUCAGCCACACUGGAACUGAGACACGGUCCAGACUCCUACGGGAGGCAGCAGUGGGGAAUAUUGGACAAUGGGCGCAAGCCUGAUCCAGCCAUACCGCGUGGGUGAAGAAGGCCUUCGGGUUGUAAAGCCCUUUUGUUGGGAAAGAAAAGCAGCAGGUUAAUACCCCGCUGUUCUGACGGUACCCAAAGAAUAAGCACCGGCUAACUUCGUG
rnacentral:rRNA from 1 species